AUCCUUUUGUGGUUCAUAAACAUGAUGAUUGGGUUUGCACAUGGCUCUGUGACAUGUGCCUCCCUCCAACCUUGUUACGACGUCGGCACAUCACCCCUCUGACU
ensembl:snoRNA